rnacentral:rRNA from 1 species
CAUCGAUGAAGAACGCAGCGAAAUGCGAUACUUGGUGUGAAUUGCAGAAUCCCGUGAACCAUCGAGUCUUUGAACGCAAGUUGCGCCCGAAGCCUUCUGGCCGAGGGCACGCCUGCCUGGGCGUCAC